GGUCCAGUGGCCAAAUGGCAAGGCGCUUGGGCUACGAACCAAGAGAUUGCAGGUUCGAUCCCUGCCUGGAUCG
rnacentral:tRNA from 1 species